GCAGUAACGUGUAUAGUACUUAAAGGUCUUUUCACUCAAAGAUUUCUGAAAACGCACGCAUGAGAAAUGAGUGAAUAGCUGACAGGAAGAAUGCGAGAUUGGUUCCCUAGAGAUCUGCUAGUGGUGACUGAUGGGGACCCCAACAUGUGCUCUUGGUGCGCAGUUUUGGAAAACCAUAGCCUGCCUAGCCAUUCUUCCUCUGGCUUUAAAAUUUUCUUUCUGGAUAAGACCUGAACACAGUAAACUCUUGCUGGCAAUGAAGAAUUCACGCACUAUGCACUCACAUUCAUUCAAUGAAUAUUUAUUGAGUGCCUAUUAGGUGCCAGGCAUGGAUCCAGUCACUAGAAGUCAAGACCAAAACACAGAAGAAAAAUCCCUCUUCUCAUUGACUUUAUAUUCUAGUGUGAGGAGACAAUAAUCAGCCAAUGCAACAAAUAAGUAAAUGAGUGUUCUAAAACAGAGCAGUGUUAGGUGCUCUGGGAAUUCUGGGCAAGAGUGGAGUGUGAUUCUGUUUUAAAUAGAGUGGUCAGGAGAGACCCCACGGAGAAGGUGACAGUUGGCAAGAUGUGGGGUGACUGAGCCAUAAGUGUGUCUUCAUUCCCGGCAGAGGGAGCAGCCAGGGCAAAGGUCCUAGGGAAGGACUGUUCCAGGAGUUUCGAAGGAAUAGCAGCCAGUGGGACUGGAGUGAAGUAAGCAAGGGGGAGCAUCAUAGGGGACGAAAGUGAAGGAGUUAGGAAGGGAGCAGGUCUGUGGGGGCACCAUAACACCAUUGAGGACUUUGGCUUUUUUUUGUGGAUGAAAGAGAGAACUCUUGGAGGGUUUGGAGCAGAGGAUGAGUAUAAUUCAGCUCAGUGAUUGCAGAGGCUCCCCAGGCAGCUGUGUUGAGAGCAGAUGAGGACUGAGCACUGGUGGAUGAGGGGAGACGCUUCCAUGAGUCAUGCAAGGUUGAGGGGGAUUGCAGUGGCGAUGUGAGACGCGCCUUGAUAGGCCUUACUGCAGGCUUGCCUCAGAGCCGUGCUGUGGUGAAUGGUGCUUUGCUAAUCCUAGUCAAAUGUGGCCUGAAACUUAAGACUCAGAAAUGUUCUGGAAAUGCUUCUAUAAAAGUAUUAAUAUGGGGAAUAAUUUGGGAGGCUUUGGGAUGAUGACAAUGCAUAAGCUCCAUUUAGACUAAAAUCUUGCUUUGUUUUACAUGAGCCGUCUUCCUAUAAAAGAGCUAGUACUGAGUCACUAUACAUGGUAGAAAUUUAGUCAUUUUGCUGUAUUUCAUAGGAUAUGUGGAGGAAUCCUUCCUGGAUUUGGUCAAGAAGCAUCCCAUCUGAGUAAUUUAUUAGAGAAUUUUGAAGGAGUUUAGAUGCUAAGGGACAAUAUAUUUGGACUUUUAAAAAAGUUCUCAGCAGUGUUUUGUACACAAAGUUAUUAACAAUAGAAGUACAUUGGGUAGGACAUUGUUUACAAAAUAGAAGAAGAAUAGGAGAAAUGAGUUUUUGUCUGGACUGAGAAAUCUAAACAGUAAGAUUCUCAGUAAUUUCCUGAAAUUUAUGGUGAGGCUCACUUUGCAGGGCAGCAAGAAGCACUUUUCACAUGGGUCAUAUGCUUACAGAGCUCGUUACCCCACAAGCUGGUAUCUGUGCAUAAUAUCUAAUACCUUAAAGUCUGAGAUAAAUUAUUCUGUGGUUGAUAACUUUUCAGUUUGAGAUGUAAAGAUGCUUGGAUGUAAGCCUCUGAGGUUGGACAUUCAGACAGACCAAGAAGUUUCUACUUGGGCAACUCACAGAUCAACCUCACAUUCAAGCUCACUGUUUCUUCGGACACACUCCUUAUCUUGGGGAGUGGCUUCCCCUUCAUCUAGAACACAGUCCCAAAGUGAUGAAUCCUUGGGACUGGCUCUUCAGUUAGCCAGAUCCCCAGUGCUGCUGAGUCUUUCUCUUUCCCAUCUCUUUCCCUUCCCUCUUUUGUGUUCUUGCUCCCACCAUGUUGGGGGAAGUCCUUGUAUGUCUCUUCUGGAACACCCCCUAGUGUCCUGCCUAGUUUCACUGUCCCCAUUCUAACCCCACCUCACCCUACCCUCAGUUCUGAAGCCAGUGUGAGGGGGGGCUCUAAAUGCAAAUCAGAUGAUGUCAAUUGCCUCUAAAACCCCUUCAUGGUUUUGGGGCGCCUGGGUGGCUCAGUUAAGUGUCCGACUUCAGCUCAGGUCAUGAUAUUAUGGUCCGUGAGUUGGAACCCCGCAUUGGGCUCUGUGCUGACAGCUCAGAUUCUGUGUCUCCCUCUCUCUCUGACCCUCCCCCGUUCAUGCUCUGUCUUUCUCUGUCUCAAAAAUAAAUAAACAUUAAAAAAAAAAAACCCUUCAUGGUUUCACAUUGCCUUCCCGAUAAAAAUCAAAUCCCUAACGUGGCAAGCCAAGUCUUCUAUGGUCCAGUCCUUACCUACUUUGUCCGCCGCCCCUCUCUUAGCACUUCCUUCCUUGAGCUCCAUGCCCUCAUCAGCUGGAAUAUCUCUAGUUCCCUGUGUGUCUCCAGCACAAUCACAGUGCUGUGCCUUUACACCUGCUGCUGCUUUCUCUUGCAGUCCACUGACAUGCCCUGUCAGUCCCCACUCAUCCUCAACAUGGCACUCUUCAAGUCACUGCCUCCAGGAAAGUCUGCCCUGACUCCACUUUUGAAUUAAGUGUCCCUUCUGUGUGUUUCUAUAGCAUUUUGUGUUUGUUGCAUUUAUCACAAGAGAUUGUUUUGCUACUAUUGAAAGUAUUAAAAAAAUUCCAUCAAUAUUCUUAAACUUUUACAAGUCCCUGAUAUAUAUGACAUACUUACUGACUAUUUAAUGAAAGAACAAACUCAGACCUUCCAUUGUAUAUUCCUGGGUAUCACUGUCAGACACAGCUGUAUUUUUAGGACUUUGGGCUAGGCUUACUUGUGGAAAGCUGUUUUUGUGUUGUGAUAUUCUGUAUAGGGGGCUGAACAGACCAAAGUCCCUUAGUAACUAUAUUAUCCUGUAUUGCAUUCUGUUAACAAUUCCAUUUUUCCAUUUUUUUGCCUUCUCUCAUCUUCAUUUAGAAUGUAUAUAUUUUGUUUUUAGAAUGUAAAUAUUUUACAAAACAGAUGAUGACAAAAAAAAUUUCACAUUUGUUUACAGGAAAGAAAUGAGAUUGACCUGCAUUUAGUCGUAAAGAAUACUUGAGAGCCAGCAUUCUGAGUUUUUCUUCAGUGACCCAAUUUAAAUCACGUUGAAAGAAGAGAGGUCAAUCCCAGGAUUCUGGCAUACUUUGAGAAGUUUCUCCUGGCCUCCACCAUUCUUGACCAAGGAGACCUCUGGGAGGCCAGUUAAGAACACAAAGCUGUUGGUGUGCCAAAAUGUACACUAAUAGAGAAUGAUAGUGUACUGGAAAGAUCUUCAUGUAGAGAGAUGAAAAAUUAAAGGAAUUUUUAUGCAUUCAUCAGAUAUUAAUUAUACAGCUGCUCUGUGUAAGUUGAUGAUCAUAGGGCUGAGAAACACAUAUGGAGAUGGCCACAGCUGGUACGGGGUGCCACCAAAAGGUGAAGAGAAGACUCAUAAGGAGCAGGGUAAUUGGAGGAAAUGGGAAAAGCAAAAAGUUUCAAGGCUCUACAUAGAUGGAGGAUUCUCCCAGAGGGAACCUGGAUUUAAGAGCAGCUUCCAGCAGUGGACUUUGCCCCGUGGCCUGUGGAAGGCAUCAGUGUUUGGUUUGAGGAAAAUUUCUCAGGUUCAACAGGAGAAUCUCCAGUGCUCUACAACUAUUAGCCUCCUCUUGUCCACUGUACCGGUUCCUCAGAUGUUUGCAUGGGGACCUUUUACCCAAGGCAUCUCCCAUUAUAUUAAUCACCAGGAAGGGGAAGUUUGGGCACAGAGACACUUCUAGAAGAAAGACAGUGUGAAGACAGCCAUCUUCAAGCCAAGGAGAGAGGCCUGGGACAGAUUCCCCCUCACAUCCCUCCAAAGGAAGCAUCUUGCUGACACGUUGCUUCUUGGACUUCUAACCUCAAAACUGUAAGACCUUAAAUUUCUGUUUAAGCCACUCUGGCUGGGGUACUUCUCUAUAGCAGUCCUAGCAAAUGAAUACAACAGCCAUUACAGAAGCAGAUACCCAGUCUGAUUGAUCAAAACACCAUACCUGUGCCAGGACUGACCAGCUAUUCUAGCCAGUAAAAACCCUAGGGAGUAACCAGCCAAAGGAAAUAACAUCCCUAUGAUCCACAGUUUGGGAGCGAUGGUCCAGGCGCUCUGGUAUAGAAUUCCUCCAACGACAGCUAUGAGCACGAUAAGGAUUGCACCUGUGAUGGACCCGAUCUGGAAGGAAGACACAAGCAGACCCGACAGCUGUGAUCGAGAACAAAACCCACUCAGGAAGAAUUGGAACACCCGGCUUCCAGAUUGAACUCUUCCUGCUCUCCUUCCUUUGGUAAAGAGAGCAUGCACAAGUGGAGAAGGGGUAGAGAGAGAGGGAGUAAGAGAGAAUUCCAAGCAGACUCUGCACUGUCAGCGUGGAGCCCCACAUGUGGCUCGAACUCACAAAACUGCGAAAUCAGGACCUGAGCCCAAGUCGGAUGCUUAACUGACUGAGCCACCCAGGCACCCCGAAGGUAAAGUUCUUAAAGCACAGAACUGACUCCAGAAGAAUAGAAAGUGUUGGAAAACUGGUUCCCAAAAGCUGAGGUGAUACUCUCUUAACUUACUUUAAAGGAAUAUUUGACCAGUUCUUCCUUUAACAUAUGCAAUGCAUAAUGUCAUCAUCGUACUGAACAGCAUAAUUUAACUGCUUUCAAUGAUUAUGAGCCAUUGUGAUAAACGCUAUUAUUUGCUCCGCUAAAAUACAGCGAUGUCUUCUGGGCAUUUGUGUUUAGAGAGCUGUUUGUCCCUAGAUUAAGGGACGCAGCAGCUGCUGUGACUUUGUGAGUUGCCUUAUUCAUUUUGUGGGCAUUUUUGCUCCUCUCUCUUGAGGUCAGGUUUUUGGGGCCACUUGAUGCUGUGGGACACAGAACCACCCCACUAGCACCUUGCUCCCCACACCACUUCUUUUUUUUUUAAUGUUUUUUAAUUUAUUUUUUGAGAGAGAGAGACAGAAUAUGAGCAGGGGAGGGGGAGAGAGAGAGGGAGACACAGAAUCCGAAGCAGGCUCCAGGCUCCAAGCUGUCAGCAUAGAGCCUGACACUGGGCUCAAACCCACAAACGGUAAGAUCAUGACCUGAGCCAAAGUCGGACGCCCAACUGACUGAGCCACCCAGGCGUCCCUACCUCCACCCCACUUCUUAUAUCUCAUCCUCUGUGCUGAGAAAUAGCGCAACAGAGCUCUAGGAUUAGGAGAUUAAGAAGGUCCUGCGCAAGGAACAUUUAUGACAUUGAGCAGGAUUGAAUAUUUUCCUGGGUUUUGUUUGAGGUCUGGAUAGGGGGCAUGGCUAGCAAGGUGACUGCUAGACUGGAGAGCUGUUGGUGUUACUCACAAGACAAGGGGCAUCUGUGGAGAACACACUUUCUAGAAUGAAAAUGAACAAUUUCACUGCCAUAUGUCCCAUUUAGGGAUUAUUCUGACUUGCUGAAGGAUUCACAUACACUGAUUAAGCUGGCUGUUUUCCACCAAAGUUUCAAGUUUUACUUUGGCUCUUUCUCCUAAAUAUUUUUAUUUUUUUACAGGAUUUGUUAUAUGAGGUAGACAGGAUUACAUAAUCAUCUGUUUCAAGACAAAUAAGAUUUCCUUGACACCACAGAAAAGUGUCAGUUGGAGCUUAGAUUAGGUCCCUGCAGUUUUUGCCCGCAGGAAGAAAUCUGUUCCAACAGCCAAAUAACCCAGCCUCGUGCAUACUUUUCUGUUUUACAAACGGAUUACACGUGGGGCAUUCUCUUGAGGUAGAAGACUCUUCCAUUUUAUUGAAAAGUUACAAAUACUCUGUAAAAGCUGUUUGGUGGAAUUCAAAGUCCCAUAUUCAAUUUGGGUCACUCCCCUUGGCUUAGUGGGUGAAUUGUCACCUCUGUGUGCUUAUGUCCAGAUCAGCCCAAGUUGAGGUCUAGAAGGGCCUUAUGGCUCUGUGGUGGUUCACAGAUUAACUAAACCUGAACAGCGCUCGCCAUCCUUUGUUCUUUACAAGACUUCCUUAGGGGGAAAAAUCUAUUGCAAGGAGAGAUGGUAUUUCCUUAAGUGAAAAGUAUGUGAAGUGAAGCCAUACAGGUUGUAUGGCUUUUCUGAAGCUUCGGGGGGACCAACCCCAGCUGAGAUGACACAGUGCUCAGUAGGCACUGUGUCAACGUGGAAUACAGCUUUACAUUUUCCAGUGGUUACAUUUCUACGCCUUAAGCUUCUCUCUUCUGAGCAUAGUAGCUUGUGAUUAACAGAGCUGACUGCCUACUGUAUAGUAUUUAAUAAGCACGCGUUACAUUACCACCUGGCUGCUUUGCAGAAAUGCAUACCUUUCCCAGGAAAUGAGGAAUUGUCAGAAGCGAAGCGAAUGUACAAAUUCCUCCUGAGGCUUUAUACCAAGAAAAAACUUGUUCAAAGAACUGGCUGUAUUUGGUGAGUUGACCAACUAUUGAUAUUGUCUUAGAAUAGAUUCUAAUGUGUAACGAACAAUUGGAUCGCGUGAUUCCACUCAGAGCUCCUCGUCACCACAAAGAAAGGUCUGGUUUGUUUCUCGUUUUGUUUUUGCUCAUACCAACAGGGCAAACUUUCUCAGGUGCGCUCGUGGCUUGGACAAACUUCUUUUUUGAAACACUUUGAGUCUUUCCCCAAAGAUAAAUGGCAACUAUCCAGCUCCCUGUUCACUGAGCUGGAUUAGAAACCACAAAUAUAAAGUAUAACCCCCAAAUUCCAAUAGCUAAGCAGCUGUACAGGAAGUUGAGGGAAUGCACUUAUUGUCUUCUGUUUAGUUCCUCAGCUGUACCCUAGAUCAGGCUGGUCAGAUGGACAUCACAGUGACGUGGGCUUGUGACAAGAUUAAUUCAAUGUGAUUACAGUAGGAGAGGCUUAGAUAGCUUACCUCAAGUCCAUGUCGCCAUCGACCCAGUAGGCCAAGAUAUUGGAGGCGGUUCCUCCGGGACAACAUCCCAUGAUGAGUACCACUACGGCUUGGACAGGAAGGAUGUCAAAGGCCACUGACAGGAUGAAUCCCGUGAGGGGCAUGAUUCCAAACUGACAGAGGAAGCCAACGCAUAUGCCCCACGGCCGCUUUACGUGUCCUAGGAAUUUCUUGAUUUCCACAUUGCAUCCCAUGGAGAACAUCACCAUGGCCAAGAGGAUGGUCAAGACAGUGCUCAGGACCACGCUGAGGAUGUUAUUGAAAUUGCUCUCAGUCAGCACACAGGACGACCCAUUGCAAACCGUGGCACUGGCCGAACAGCCUGUUGAAUUAUUCAUUGCUGGAUUUGGUGCCCAAAUGGUCACACGCGACCACAGAAGUACCAAUCUUCCGCUCCUCACCAGAUGAAUAAUGCCUCAUCCAGCCGUGUCCAACUUUUAAACCCUUCUCAAACAUGUGUCACUUGAGUCUCUUUCAAAAACCACCUCAGAGAAGCAAUAAAAAACAAUAAAUGCUAGUAUGUCAGUUUCCAGAGGUAACAUUACAACACAGCACAAAUUAUGAAUCAUAAAAGUCCUGCCAAAUUGUUGGUCCGGCUGGAGAAUUAUAAUUAAUCAUUUAUUGGCAUGAUAAUGAACCGUACCAUAUAAAAAGAGCCGUGUUAAUGUUUAAUGCUGAGGAGGUUUGUGAAAUUUCAGUUAAGUGACACUUAAAAACAACUAAGAAAAACGAAAGAACGUUGGAGGGUGUAAGCCAUAGGAAAGCACAUUGUUCACUCAUAUAAGGGAGAUUGGGUCCUGAAAAAGUCACGUCCUGUGCCGAGUUAAAUUGCAAAAUCGUGUCAGGCUCUGAACUGGGACCUAGACCUUGAAUUUCCUCCCUCCAAGAGCCUUCCUACUGAAUCAACUGGUCUGCUUGUAUUGGUCUAUAGUUUUCCUAAAGUACAUGUAAGUUUCAGAAAUCUGUAGGGUCUUGAUGCAAACCUAUGGGACAGUAACAUGCAGGAGGGUGGAAUGUUGUCUAUGGGGUCUGGUGGGAAGGGAGCUGAUGAGUAGAGCCACCCUCAAUUACAGAAGUGAUUCUGUGUGUGUUGCCAUGGUAACAAAGCACUUUUUUUUUUUUUUAGGUAGAGACAAUACAAUUAUUUAGAGGAAUAAGCCUCAGAGGAUUAAGUCAAGGUAACAGGCUGGUGGAUAGAGGUUUCAAGGGAGGCUGAUUUUUAUGAAUGUCAAAUAGUCAACCUCAUUGCAGACAGAACACUGUAUUUGGUGUGUAAGGAAGAUAAAGGAGGGAGAGAGGGAUUGUUCCUGUUCUCGGAAGUUUACAAUCCAAUGACUGCGUCAAGAUGUAUGUGUUGUCUAAUUUAAUCAUGUUAAAUUAAGGAAGAUGAGCAUCCCCAUUUUACGGAUGAAGACUUGAGGGUCAAGGAAAUGAAGUGCUUUAUUCAAAGCUACCCAGCAGAUACCUCGACAUCCUGAAACUCAGUCUGGCUUGGUGAAAAUUAGCAGCACCUUAGAACAGAACUUCUCAAAACUCAGUGUGCACAUGAACCCUCCAGGGGUCUUGUUACAGCACAGAUCCCGAUUCCGGAAGUCUGGGGUGGGCCUCAGGAUGUCUGCAUUUCUGACAAGCUUGGCAUUGAUGGAUUGAUGCCGAUCCAGAGGACCACACUGUGAGCAUCAAGGCCACAGACUACCAAUGUCAGGGUGACUACCAUGGCACCCAAGGUGGUGGAAACUGAGCUUACCGGUCACAACUGAGAACAGCGUUUAGAGAGCGACUCGAUACGGGGAAUUACCUUUCUCAUCGCUUGAGUACACAUGAGCUGUGAGCACCCGGCAAAGGGAUCCAUUUGUGUCAGAUGUCCCAGCUGCUGGGGGCCUAGGGACACUGUCCCUUUAAUCUGGAAUUGAGCUGCUGGGAAAAUGUCGAAGAGUGUCCUUAAGGGGUGACCAUGAUUCACACUCCUUAUGGUGCAGCUUCUGUCCCCAGAGUGCUCCUCUCUAGCUGUCAUGCUUCACAGCCGCCUUUGCUGGCAUGGGUGGGCUCCCAUUAGCUCUGCCUGGCUGCAUGCCAGUUCCCAGGAAAUCGUCCCGACUCUCUCACUACCCUUCCUGCUCCCACAGCUAAAUGAUUAGCUAGGGAAUCCCCACAAGGGCUCCCCUCUCACUCCUGUGUGUGGAAUGACUUGGUCCCUGCCCUGCAAGCAUCUCCUGGCACUGACCUCUGACCCACUUCUUGGCUCAGGUGCCCGGCAGCCGAGGGCAGGAGCUGAACACUCCCCCUGCUGCCGCAGCUCGGCACCUGCCAGCUCGGGCUCUGCCCCCCAGUGCCUGGGCUGGGCUGGGUUGGGCAUGUCCACAGGACUGGAGAUCAGCUUCCAAAGCAGCUGUCUUGCUUUCACCUCCAACAGCCCUGGAGAGUGAAAAAGCUAGCCUAGGACCUACCCCCCAACAGCCUCUUCGCUUCACCAGGCAGAAAGCCUCAUUGAUUUGGAAGUCGUCCAUCAGAAUGCCCUUCCCAGUUCCUGAGGACCUAAUAGAAAGAGCAGUGCUUCUCCGAUGUGCACAGAAGUGCUGUAUAUGGUAAAGGACAAAGGGUUUUUAAGACACUUAGCUUUUUGGUCAUUGAAUCUGGAAGGAUACCUCAGAUAUCACCAACUCUACAACAGAUAGAUACACUCAACCCUGGACUUGGACAAGUGCUGUCUCCCUUAUGAGGUUGGGUCUAUUAUAUCCUCACUCCACAGAUGAAGAGAUUGAUACAGAAGCAGGUGUAGUGACUCGCUCAAGGCCACAGCCUGGAAGGGGCAAGGCUGGAAUUCAGCUUACAAAGAAAAACUUUACAGGAAAGAAGGCAAUUGCAUAGGUUUCAAAAUGCAGAAACGUCCCGGACACGCCACAUGCCCCCUUGUGAAACGAUGGAUGGGUAAGCUGACUGGAAUGUCCUGGCAAAGGACAAAGAUGUGAAAUAACCGGUUCAAAGUCACCCUUCAGGUCUGGGAGAGAGCCUCAGCUGCCUCUGUUGCUGAAAUUCUUCAUUCCCGAGGCAGAGUCAGCCCUCUCGGAGCAGAGUGUGGCACGGGACCAAGGUAGAAUGACACAAAACGAAGGGGCUUCUGCUCUGCCGGUUCAUGAGCGUGCGUUGUGCAUCAUAUGAGAAGUUAUUUCUCCUAAGGACCAUCUUUAACUUCAGCAAUAUGUCCUAAAGAUGUCUUACAAGGGCAAUCAAGAUUUAGCCAGAGGGCUAAGUGGGAGGAAGUUAUAAUGUACAAGGUGAGUCUUUUGAGACUCUGAAAAACCCAUUAACAGAGAAGUUAUUAAUGUCUUUUUUUAUGCAGCCAUAGUGCAGAGGCAGACCCCAAAGAAACCAAUCCACAUUAUGAAAUGUUUUACAGAAAUCCAUUUUUAAAAAUAGGAGAAUGCUCUAAAUGGAGUCUGGAGGUGGGAACGGAAUACGUGUCUGGCCUCCUGGGCCAGCUGCAGAUUUUCUAAAGAAUAAAGGGAAAUUCUCCUUAGCCUUCACUUUGAGACAAAGAAAUAGAAUGAAAACUUCUACUGUAAGAUUUGGUUAUCUCUUCUAUUUUUCUUGUUCUCACAUUUAGUUUUCUUCCUUCCUUUCGUGUACUUCCCCUACCCAAACCUAAUAUCUUCAGGCCUCUGUUAACUUGGAUUUAACUUUAAAAAUAGCAAAUUAUUAACCUUCAUUAGGCAUGAAUGUGAUAUACAGUUAAGUGAGUUCCUCUAAGAAUGGUAGAAUAUAAGGGCAGGUUUUCCAUCCGUAAAUAUGGCGCCUCUGGACUAUUAUCAGAGGGAAUGAAUGCACUCAGAUGUGUUUUCCCCCACAGAGGGGAGAGAUUUGCUUUCAUUUUCACUCAACUAAAAUCUCUUCAUAAACAGAAACUGUGACUUGUUCAUUUUUACCUCCCUUCCUCAUAGCACAGCCCUGGUACACAGCCGGUGAUCAGCAAACAGUUACUGGUCAGCUGAAGCAAUUCUAAAUUCAUCAAAUCUACAGUUCACCAUUACAGCCAAAGAUUUCCUUCUAGAAGCCAGGCUCUUUGCCAAUUGCUGUGUCUUCAGAGACGAGUAGGAUGUGGCUCUUAGUGUCAAUGACCUUAGAGUUGGGUGGAGUCAUGGUGAAGGGGGGCAGUGGUGGGGUCAGGGAGAGACAGGAAAUACAGGCAGGUGGUUGCUAGGUAGACACAGGAGGAAGGACAUUGUGGAGAGAGGGUCAUAGAUAAGGCCAAAGCCAGGAAGGAGUCAGGCUGCUGUACACAGAGGGUAUGUAGACACCUGACCGGCCAACAGGCCUGGUGACCAUGUAAGAGAGCUGGUGAAGGCUAACGUUGGAGACUGAACGUGCGGGGGUCACAGCGGAGGACCUGAGGAUCUGUGAACCGCGCCCUGACACCCCAGCGUGUUCUGAUCAGAUCUUUUCAUGCUCUUGAAAACCAUCUUUUUAAAUGGUAAGAUGUGCACGGGCACAGAGAAGUGGAUGAAACGACAGAAUCAGCUGUUCAGUAAAUGCAAAAAUGUUUCUUGAAUCCUGUUCUUUUAAUUGCCAGGGUGUAGCGAUAGGUGGAAAGAAAAGUAUCAAGCCCAAAGAAACACCAACUAAAAUUUAAAAAAUCCCUGGAAUUUGCUCAGGUUUGGUCCAGUGGCCAUGGCGUGCUUUUGUGUACCCACAAUAUCUUCAAAGGCAAACCUUGAGGGAAAUACGGUCUGCGAGGAGCCCGUUUGUGACCCAGUAGGUGAUCCUUUGAUCACUCACCAGGGCUCGCUCACCCGGAACAGGUUUCUGGCUGCUGGUUUGGGGAGUGAUCAGCAGAAGUUUAGCCAUGGGGUCUUUGAUAAGUCACUAAUUAUUUUCACUCAUUAAAAGAAAGUGUUGGAGGGGUGCCUGGGUGGCUCAGUUGGUUGAGCGUCUGACUUCAGCUCAGGUCAUGAUCUGGCAGUCUGUGAGUUUGAGCCCCACAUCGGGCUCUGUGCUGACAGCUCAAAGCCUGGAGCCUGCUUCGGAUUCUGUGUCUCCCUCUCUCUCUGCCCCUCCCCUGCUCAUGCUCUGUCUCUCUCUCUCUCUCUGUCAAAAAUAAAUAAACAUUAAAAAAAUUAAAAAAAAAAAGUGUUGGAAUAAAUGAUCCCUUUAGCUCUCAAAUUCUCAGCCAGUAGCAAUUUCUUACUUGAUCCUCAUUUUUCAUGAGACAAUAAAUAACCUUUAUCUUUUCUCUUUAUCUAGAAGUUAAUUUGUCUUCUACUCCAUGUUCUGCAUUUUCCCUUCUCUUCUUGGCUUUUCCCAUUCUUCCCCUUAAGUUUCUUUACUUGGACCCAGAAAAAAAUAAAAGAAAAAAGAAAGAGAAACUUCCCUUUGGUGACAGCUAAAGUUAAAACACAGAUAUGAGAGAUUACCUUUAAUGGUUAGAGCUGUGCUGGAGAGUUUUAAGAGGAUAUUUCUGAAUUCAUUGAAUUUUAAACUUACUGAAGUGGGUUUUAACCUUUUAUUGAGGAUUUGAUAAAAAAAAAUUGGUUUCCAUCUCCACUCGCUCCCCCCAAUUUUGCAUCAAGUAACAGGAAACCGUCUUUCUCCAUAAACCCACUCUGGGAGCUCAGGUUGGAAAUGCUUUGCAUCCACAGGCAUCGAAGGUGGACCAGGGGUGGAUGAUUGUCCACGCACAUGUUGAGUUCAUUUAAAGCACACCCUGAUUUUGUUUUCUCUCUUUUGCUUUUUUUCUAACUCCCCUCUGUAACCUGCAUCCCUCACAUGGGGGCAAGUCACAGUUUUGCCAGGUGGCUGGUCGGAAAGAGCACGUGUGCUGUCCCGUGGCCCCCACUCUAGGCCACUCAGCUGGGAAAGGCCUCUUGUGGAUUUCAAGCUGCAGGGGAAAUGCAAACCAGGUUUCUGGGCUCUGAAAUAGUAAUAAAAUGUGGCCAGGAGCUCAGCUGUGGGUAGGUCUCCCCAUGUAAACCUUUUUAUUUUAUGACGUAUCCGAAAUGGCCUGCUCUGAGUUUUAUAGUUAUGAUCAGUCAGAAACCUCAGAUUGUACCUACUGUGUGGAAGAGGUGGAGGGUCAGGUACACGUUUCGUGGUUGUCUUUAGCACAGUAGGGAUUCCUUGCGCGGUAGUGAGUGUUCCGGGUGGGUGAAGUUUGUAGCCUGUACAUUUAGAUAGCAGUUGCUGAACAGCAGCGUGUGUUGGGGGUGGGGGGGAUGACUGAUGGAAGUGCACGUGCAUGUGUGCAAGGGCACGUGUGUGUCUUGUUCACCAGCCAGGCUCUACCUGCUGCGAAGGAAGCUCCGGGAGCCCUUUUGCUUCAUCAUUUUUAAAUGUUCAAGUUAAAAAAAAAAUGAGCACUUGAGACAUUAAAAUAGCAUCCAACAGUACUCAACCAUCUGGUUCGUCAGGGUGACUUUUCGGAGAUAAAGAUUUUUUUCUUAAGGACUAAAUGGUCUCAUUUGGCAACUUCAACAUGCCAGCAAUGAUCAGCAUUGUUUGCGUGGUAUCUCCUAAUGCUGGAAAUAACGCAAACAGGAAAACAAAGUCAUUUUUUGUUGAAAGAACAUCCUUGUAAAUACCACACGGCGUGAGGUUUGGUAGGUACUCCUCAAGUGUUCCACAAUAUUAUGAUUGAAAGAAGAUUAUCUUUCCAUUUUUCAUCAGGUUGCAUUAAUUUUGCAACUUUUGCUUUUUUAUUAUGUCCAUUUUUGUUUUGUUUUGUUUUUUGGGAGAGUGCAAGCAGGGGAAGGGCAGAGAGAGAGGGAGACAGAGGAUCCCAAGAGGGGUCCGUGCUGACAGCAGAGUUCUCAUGUGCAGAUGUGUGUGAGAAGGGAAGAUCCUAAGAGGUCAAGUGCACUCCCGUUGUCUGGACUGCCAAGGGGUCCUCAUAGUGAUCGUCGGGACUCUGGGCCACUGAGGAAUUUAAGAUGGUUCUUUGAGACUUCCUGCUAUGCCACCUGCAAGUCUGGAUGGAGGGAUCAUUGAUCUGAUUGAUCAAAGAUCCUCAUCUGGGUGACCUCCUUCAAAAUCUCCAAUUGUCCCCACCUUUGCUCUGAGCACUGCCAUACUAGCAAUGCAGUGGGAAAUACAGCAGAGUGGGAAAUGAUGUUAUUUUCUCCUGUACCUGCUUUGUUCAUUCUCUCAAGAUGACUUUAGGUGGUAAGGUGCUGUUAGUUGAGCUAGGCAUAUGUGUUAGUUUCCUAUUACUGCUGUAACAAAUGACCGCACACUUAAUGGGGGUCAAAUAAAAAACAAAUGUGGACUUAGGUAAGGAGGCACUGUAUUCAAAAGGAUUAUUGCAAGAGAAGUGGAGGGACUAUUGAAACAGGGAGAACAUUCUGUCCAUGAGAUCUGCAAGCAUCUUCUAGGUCAGGCAGGAAAAGUAUUCUGUCUUAUAAAGAGGAGUGAAUAAGGCUAGUAGAACUGGGUAUGUGCAGCAGGAUGAUAGGACAGUAGAGCAGAGAAUGUGUUACCCUGAGGCCAGCCUGUUCAUAAGAGAGAAAGAGGGGCUCCGGUUGAGGGUGGGUCAAAGUUCAGGGACCUGGAGGAAAGAGAGAAACUUAACUGAUGUUGGGUUAACAUGGAUUUUGCUCCAAUUGUCAUUGUGGACAAACAGUCCAUUGAAUCAUGUAUGGAGCAAAGAAUGUGGAUAUGGAGUGUCUGCGUCUGGCCUUGUCUUUGGGAAACAAGAGGGGCAUCCUUGAGUCUUAUCUAAGUCACUCGAUGAAGAGAGGUUCUUUGCUGUUUCCCAGAGCAUAAAAUGGUGGUAUUUUUUUUUUUUUUUUUUAACAUCAUCUGUUUUUCCGGACUACAGGGUUCAGGUCAAAUUCGAAGUUGUCAGUGCCUGAAAACAAUGCAAAUUAUUAUCUUACAUUCUGGGAGGUGGAAGUCUUAUGUGGGUAUCGCUGGACUAAAAUCAUUGUGUUGGCAGGGAUGUGCUCCCUUCUGGGGGCUCCAGGGGAGGAUGGGGAGGAUUUAUUCCCUUGAAUUUUUCAGCUUCUGGAGGCUGUGCCAUUCCUUGGCUGUGUCUCCUUCCAGGCUCCAAAGCCAGCCAUGGCUGAUACAAUUCUCCUUAGGCUACGUCACAUUGACACUGACCCUCCUGCUUUGCUCUUCCACUUGCAUAAUCCAGGAUAAUCUUUCAGUGUUAAAGUCAGUGGAUUACCAACCUUAAUUCCAUCUUCAACCUUAAUCCCUUUUUGUCACAUAAAGUAACAGAUUCCCAGGUUCCAGGAAAAAAGACUUGGACAUCUUUGGGGGUUAUUAUUUGCCUAGCACUCUACAUCUCUCAAAUAAUUUAUGGAAGGUACAAAAAGAUCUAUUUUACCAAAUACUAAUUUUUGGAGUACUUAUAAUUUUUUGAUUCAAGGCAGCAGCUCUCAGACUUUUUCAUCUUGGAUCCUUUCUACACUCUUAAAAUUCUUAACGACCCCAAAGAGCUUUAGUUAAUGUAGGAUGUAUCUAUUGAUGUUUAGUGCAUUAGGAAUUAAAACUGAGAGCGGCACCUGGGUAGCUCAGUCACUUGAGCAAAGGACUCUUGGUUUUGGCUCAGGUCAUGAUCUCAUGGUUUGGUGGGUUGGAGCCCUGCAUCAGGUUCCAUGCUGACAGUGCGAAACCUGCUUGGGAUUCUCUGUCUCCCUCUCUCUCCAUCCCUCUCCCACCCACGCUGUCUCUGUUACUCUCAAAAUAAACAAAUUAAUUGAAAAAAAAGGAAUUAAGGCUGAGAAAAUUUAAAUACAUUUAUUGAUUCAUUUUAAGUGUCUGUAAUAAACAUUGUGUCUUAAUGCAAAUAACAUUUUAAUUUAAAAUAAAUAUAUUUUCUAAAAGAAAAUUUUAGCAAGAAAAGGAGCAUUGUUUCACAUUUUUGCAAAUCUCUUGGUCUGGUUUGAUAGAAGACAGCCAAGUCUCAUAUUUGAUUCUUUAUUCAGUCUUUCACAAUAUGAAGUAUAUGAAUAACAUCCAGACUCACACAGAUGUGUAGUUGGAAAAUGGGGGGAUGGGUGUUGCAAUUAUAGAUAAUUGUGGAUAUACUCCUUUCAUACUAUGCCAGAAUUUGACAAGUGAGACAGGUGGUAGUUUUUAUUAUUUAUUGAUUUAUUUACCUAUUUAUUCAUUUUUAUUAAAAAUUUUUUUUAAAUAUUAUUUUUGAGAGAGAGAGACCAUGUGCACGCAGGAGUGGAGGAGGGGUAGAGAGAGGGAGACACAGAAUCUGAAGCAGGUUCCAGGCUCCGAGCUGUCAGUAUGAGCCCAACUUGGGGCUUGAACUCACGAACCAUGAGAUCAUGACAUGAGCCGAAGUCGAACCCUUAACCGACCAAGCCACCCAGGUGCCUCUAUUUAUUUUUAAUAUUAGAAUGUUUUUUCU